UACGUAGGGCGCAAGCGUUGUCCGGAAUUAUUGGGCGUAAAGAGCUCGUAGGCGGCUUGUCACGUCGGAUGUGAAAGCCCGGGGCUUAACCCCGGGUCUGCAUUCGAUACGGGCAGGCUAGAGUUCGGUAGGGGAGAUCGGAAUUCCUGGUGUAGCGGUGAAAUGCGCAGAUAUCAGGAGGAGCACCGGUGGCGAAGGCGGAUCUCUGGGCCGAAAUUGACGCUGAGGAGCGAAAGCGUGGGGAGCAAACAGG
rnacentral:rRNA from 1 species